CAGUCGCCGCGGUAAUACGAAGGGUGCAAGCGUUACUCGGAAUUACUGGGCGUAAAGCGUGCGUAGGUGGUGGUUUAAGUCCGUUGUGAAAGCCCUGGGCACAACCUGGGAAUUGCAGUGGAUACUGGGUCACUAGAGUGUGGUAGAGGAUAGUGGAAUUUCCGGUGUAGCAGUGAAAUGCGUAGAGAUCGGAAGGAACAUCUGUGGCGAAGGCGACUAUCUGGGCCAACACUGACACUGAGGCACGAAAGCGUGGGGAGCAAACAGGAUUAGAUACCCGUGUAGUCCCUGUCUCUUAUAC
rnacentral:rRNA from 1 species